GCUCAGAACGAACGCUGGCGGCAUGCCUAAUACAUGCAAGUCGAACGGGAAAAGCCUUCGGGUGAGUACUAGUGGCGCACGGGUGAGUAACGCGUGGGUAAUCUGCCUUUUAGUGGGGAACAACAUCUCGAAAGAGGUGCUAAUACCGCAUAAGACUACGAUUUCUUCGGAUUUAGUGGUUAAAGGGGGCUUCGGCUCUCGCUAAAAGAUGAGCUCGCGUCCCAUUAGCUAGAUGGUGGGGUAAUGGCCUACCAUGGCGACGAUGGGUAGCUGGUCUGAGAGGAUGAUCAGCCACACUGGAACUGAGACACGGUCCAGACUCCUACGGGAGGCAGCAGUAGGGAAUAUUGGACAAUGGGGGAAACCCUGAUCCAGCAAUGCCGCGUGAGUGAUGAAGGCCUAUGGGUCGUAAAACUCUGUCGUAUAGGAAUAAAUGCCUGUGGUUAAUACCCGCAGGAGCUGAAGGUACUAUGCAAGAAAGCACCGGCUAACUACGUGCCAGCAGCCGCGGUAAUACGUAGGGUGCUAGCGUUGUUCGGAAUUACUGGGCGUAAAGCGCAUGUAGGCGGCUAUUUAAGUCAGAUGUGAAAGCCCCGGGCUUAACCUGGGACGUGCAUCUGAAACUAUUUAGCUUGAGUACAGGAGAGGGUAGUGGAAUUUCUGGUGUAGUGGUGAAAUACGUAGAUAUCAGAAGGAACAUCGGUGGCGAAGGCGGCUGCCUGGCCUUGUACUGACGCUGAGAUGCGAAAGCGUGGGGAGCAAACAGGAUUAGAUACACUGGUAGUCCACGCCGUAAACGAUGAACACUUGGUGUUGGAGGUAUUGACCCCUUCAGUGCCGGAGCUAACGCGUUAAGUGUUCCGCCUGGGGAGUACGGUCGCAAGAUUAAAACUCAAAGAAAUUGA
rnacentral:rRNA from 1 species